CAUGCCCCUUAUACGCUGGGCUACACACGUGCUACAAUGGGUAGAACAGAGAGUCGCAAAGCUGUGAAGUGGAGCUAAUCUCAGAAAACUAUUCUUAGUUCGGAUUGUACUCUGCAACUCGAGUACAUGAAGUUGGAAUCGCUAGUAAUCGCGAAUCAGCAAUGUCGCGGUGAAUACGUUCUCGGGUCUUGUACACACCGCCCGUCACACCACGAGAGUUGGUUGCACCUGAAGUAGCAGGCCUAACCGUAAGGAGGGAUGCUCCGAGGGUGUGAUUAGCGAUUGGGGUGAAGUCGUAACAAGGUAUCCGUACGGGAACGUGCGGAUGGAUCACCUCCUUUCUAAGGAGUAUAAGUCUUUCUCUAUUCUAUUGGUAAUGUUCUUUACAUUACUUCUGAACAUUGGAAACUAUAUAGUAGAACAAACAAGAAAAAAAUUAACUCUAACAAUUUCUUAGAGUUAGCUGUCAAAAAAUAGAUUAAAAUAAUUAAGGGCACACAAAGGAUGCCUAGGUAGUAAGAGCCG
rnacentral:sRNA from 1 species